rnacentral:rRNA from 1 species
CCUACGGGAGGCAGCAGUGGGGAAUAUUGGACAAUGGGCGAAAGCCUGAUCCAGCAAUGCCGCGUGAGUGAUGAAGGCCUUAGGGUUGUAAAGCUCUUUUACCAGGGAUGAUAAUGACAGUACCUGGAGAAUAAGCUCCGGCUAACUCCGUGCCGGCAGCCGCGGUAAUACGGAGGGAGCUAGCGUUGUUCGGAAUUACUGGGCGUAAAGCGUACGUAGGCGGUUAUUCAAGUCAGAGGUGAAAGCCUGGAGCUCAACUCCAGAACUGCCUUUGAAACUAGAUAGCUAGAAUCUUGGAGAGGUGAGUGGAAUUCCGAGUGUAGAGGUGAAAUUCGUAGAUAUUCGGAAGAACACCAGUGGCGAAGGCGACUCACUGGACAAGUAUUGACGCUGAGGUACGAAAGCGUGGGGAGCAAACAGGAUUAGAUACCCUGGUAGUCCACGCCGUAAACGAUGAUAACUAGCUGUUCGGGCUCUACGGAGUCUUGAGUGGCGACGAGUCUAACGCUAAUUAAGUUACUCCGCCGUAGGGGAGUUACGGUCGACGAAGUAAUUAAAACUACGAAAAGUAGUAAGUUGACGAGAGAGACGACGACGACGACGACGAGGAGGAGAG